ACGGUUAUAGAUCAAGACAUUGAUUUAUAAGUAUGGAAAUCCCCUGAGUGAAACAACGAAUUGCUGUGUGUAGUCUUUGCCCAUCUCCCACGAUGGGCUUUUUUUUGU
rnacentral:other from 1 species